UACGUAGGCAGCGAGCGUUGUUCGGAAUUACUGGGCGUAAAGAGUGUGUAGGCGGUGCUCUAAGUUCGGUGUGAAAUCUCCUGGCUUAACUGGGAGGGUGCGCCGGAAACUGGGGUGCUCGAGCGUGGGAGAGGAAAGCGGAAUUCCUGGUGUAGCGGUGAAAUGCGUAGAUAUCGGGAAGAACACCCGUGGCGAAGGCGGUUCUCUGGGACGGUACUGACGCUGAGACGCGAAAGCGUGGGGAGCGAACAGG
rnacentral:rRNA from 1 species